rnacentral:rRNA from 1 species
CCUACGGGUGGCUGCAGUGAGGAAUAUUGGUCAAUGGCCGGUAGCCUGAACCAGCCAAGCCGCGUGAAGGAGGACUGCGCAGAGCGUCGCAGACUUCUUUUACCUGGGAAUAAAAGGCAGUAUUUGUCCUGCCCUGCGUGUACCCGAUGAAAAAGCAUCGGCUAACUCCGUGCCAGCAGCCGCGGUAAUACGGAGGAUUCGAGCGUUAUCCGGAUUUAUUGGGUUUAAAGGGUGCGAAGGCGGGCUGUUAAGUCGGUCGGGAAAGUUUGGGGGGCAACCCCCCAAGAGCAGUUGGUACUGGGGGCCUUGAGUGCAGUGGAGGCAUGCGGAAUGCGCGGUGUAGCGGUGAAAUGCAUAGAUAUCGCGCAGAACCCCGAUUGCGAAGGCAGCGUGCCGUGCUGCAACUGACGCUGAGGCACGAAAGCGUGGGGAUCGAACAGGAUUAGAUACCCGUGUAGUC